UACGAAGGGGGCGAGCGUUAUUCGGAAUCACUGGGCGUAAAGCGUGCGUAGGCUGUUUUGUAAGUUGGGAGUGAAAGCCCAGGGCUCAACCUUGGAAUUGCUCUCAAAACUACAAGACUUGAAUCCCGGAGAGGAUAGCGGAAUUGUCAGUGUAGCAGUGAAAUGCGUAGAUAUUGACAGGAACACCAGUGGCGUAAGCGGCUAUCUGGACGGGUAUUGACGCUGAGGCACGAAAGCGUGGGGAUCAAACAGG
rnacentral:rRNA from 1 species